rnacentral:rRNA from 1 species
UACGUAGGGUGCAAGCGUUGUCCGGAAUUACUGGGCGUAAAGGGCUCGUAGGCGGCCAACUAAGUCGGACGUGAAAUCCCCAGGCUCAACCUGGGAACUGCGUCCGAUACUGGAUGGCUUGAAUCCGGGAGAGGGAGGCAGAAUUCCAGGUGUAGCGGUGAAAUGCGUAGAUAUCUGGAGGAAUACCGGUGGCGAAGGCGGCAGCCUGGACCGGCAUUGACGCUGAGGAGCGAAAGCCAGGGGAGCAAACGGG